UUGCCGAACUCAGCGGCGGACGGCUGUGUAACACGUGAGCAACCUGCCUUAAAGACCGGGAUAACACAACGAAAGAUGUGCUAAUACCGGAUAGUAGUAUCUUUCGCAUGAGAGGUACUGGAAAGGGGGGACCCACUUUAAGAGGGGCUCGCGGCCCAUUAGCUAGUUGGUGAGGUAAAGGCCCACCAAGGCGACGAUGGGUAGCCGGCCUGAGAGGGUGGACGGCCACACUGGGACUGAGACACGGCCCAGACUCCUACGGGAGGCAGCAGUGGGGAAUAUUGCGCAAUGGGGGGAACCCUGACGCAGCGACGCCGCGUGAGCGAAGAAGGCCUUCGGGUCGUAAAGCUCUGAUCUAUGGGAAGAAGACGGUACCAUAGGAGAAAGCCCCGGCUAACUACGUGCCAGCAGCCGCGGUAAUACGUAGGGGGCAAGCGUUGUCCGGAGUGACUGGGCGUAAAGGGCGCGUAGGCGGCUAAAAAAGUCAGGUGUAAAAGGCACCGGCUCAACCGGUGAUAAGCAGCUGAAACUAGGUAGCUAGAGUACAGGAGAGGAGAUCGGAAUUCCUGGUGUAGCGGUGAAAUGCGUAGAUAUCAGGAAGAACACCAGUGGCGAAGGCGGAUCUCUGGACUGGGACUGACGCUGAGGCGCGAAAGCGUGGGUAGCAAACAGGAUUAGAUACCCUGGUAGUCCACGCCGUAAACGAUGGAUACUAGGUGUAGGCGAGAAAGCGUCUGUGCCGGAGUCAACGCAAUAAGUAUCCCGCCUGGGGGAGUACGGCCGCAAGGCUGAAACUCAAAGGAAUUGACGGGGGCCCGCACAAGCAGCGGAGCAUGGUGGUUUAAUUCGAAGCAACGCGAAGAACCUUACCAGGGCUUGACAUCUACAGAAUCCUUUAGAAAAUAAAGGAGUGCCCGAAAGGGAGCUGUGAAACAAGGUGGUGGCAUGGGUUGUCGUCAGCUCGUGUCGUGAGAAUGUUUGGGGUUAAGUCCCCGCAACGAGCGCAACCCUAAUCACUA
rnacentral:rRNA from 1 species